UACGGGGGGGGCGAAGCGUUGUUCGGAGUUACUGGGCGUAAAGGGUGCGUAGGCGGCCCUGUAAGUAUGGUGUGAAAUCUCCCGGCUUAACUGGGAGGGUGCGCUAUAGACUGCGGGGCUCGAGUGUGGGAGAGGAAAGUAGAAUUCCUGGUGUAGCGGUGAAAUGCGUAGAUAUCAGGAGGAACACCGGUGGUGUAAACGGCUUUCUGGACCAUAACUGACGCUGAGGCACGAAAGCGUGGGUAGCAAACAGG
rnacentral:rRNA from 1 species